AGACCCAGGGGUGACUUGGAGGUGAAGAAGAGACAUUGGCAAGGGCAGUGAUGCCUGAGCAAGAGCCCAGGGGACAGUGCAGAAACCCAGCUCUCCCUCCUAACACCCUUGGCAAGAGGCCCAGGCUCGGAGCUGGCCGCACAGGCUGAUUCGUGACUGAGAAGCUGCUUAGGGCGAUUUGUGGAAGGUAGAAAUGAAUGAGCGUGCAGAGAAGGAACUGGAAAAUGUGGUAGAAGAGGAACGCGCUCUCAAAGUUCUCUGCUCAUCCCGAAAUUUGAAAACAGAUGAGGACCCAGGAGACCGGUGGAGCCAUUCCUGUCCCAGC
rnacentral:lncRNA from 1 species